AUUGAACGCUGGCGGCAUGCUUUACACAUGCAAGUCGAACGGUAACAGGCCGCAAGGUGCUGACGAGUGGCGAACGGGUGAGUAAUGCAUCGGAACGUGCCCAGUCGUGGGGGAUAACGCAGCGAAAGCUGUGCUAAUACCGCAUACGAUCUAUGGAUGAAAGCGGGGGACGGUAAGGCCUCGCGCGAUUGGAGCGGCCGACGGCAGAUUAGGGAGGUGGUGGGGUAAAGGCUCACCAAGCCAACGAUCGGUAGCUGGUCUGAGAGGACGACCAGCACCACUGGGACUGAGCCACGGCCCAGACUCCUACGGGAGGCAGCAGUGGGGAAUUUUGGACAAUGGGCGCAAGCCUGGUCCAGCAAUGCCGCGUGCAGGAAGAAGGCCUUCGGGUUGUAAACUGCUUUUGUACGGAACGAAACGGCGAGCUCUAAUACAGUUUGCUAAUGACGGUACCGUAAGAAUAAGCACCGGCUAACUACGUGCCAGCAGCCGCCGUAA
rnacentral:rRNA from 1 species